GAGUCCUACGGGGGGCAGCAGUGAGGAAUAUUGGUCAAUGGGCUUACGCCUGAACCAGCCAAGUCGCGUGAACGAGGAAGGUCUUCGGAUCGUAAAGUUCUGUUGAAGGGGAAAAAGAGCGGAGAGAGGAAAUGGUCUCCGAUUGAUAUUACCCUUCGAGGAAGUCACGGCUAACUACGUGCCAGCAGCCGCGGUAAUACGUAGGUGGCGAGCGUUAUCCGGAAUGAUUGGGCGUAAAGGGGGCGUAGGCGGCCUGCUAAGUCUGGAGUGAAAGGUACCGGCUCAACCGGUACAGGCUCUG
rnacentral:rRNA from 1 species